rnacentral:tRNA from 1 species
GCCCCCAUAGCCCAAUCGGCAGAGGCAGGCGACUUAAAAUCGCUUCAGUGUGGGUUCGAAUCCCGCUGGGGGCACCUCAU